GUAGCCCUUUCAGACCGAGUGUGCACAUUAAAGGACAUACAGUUUUUUGCGAACUAAAUUACUAAAAUAACUUUUAUGUAGCAAAAGAAAGUUGUCAUAAAGAUAAGAAGUCAGGUAAUGAGUUUAAUGCAAGCGUUCCGGUCAAUCAGUUGCAAUUUAGCGACACUUUUGUGCCCAUCUUACUGUGGUUUAUAGUGAUAUUGUGUAAGUUCAAAGUUUACACUUGUUAUGCCCGUUUUCACCAACAAUCUCUUACCGUUUCCCUAUCUAAAUGCUACUUUUAAUAAAGACCCCUCCCAAUUUGACACCUACCUAAAUUCAUUUUCACCACACUUGUACAUGGAUCCCUUAAGUAAGUGACAGAUUACUAGUUCUACAAACGAUAAUGCAAAGUCGAUAUUUUAUCGAUAAAAUGAUUUUUCUGUACUUCUUAAGAAAUAAACGUCUAUCGAGUAUAUAUUACUAAAGCCUGUGAGUUUUUUUUCUUGUGAUGUUAUUUUAAUUUAACUUAAACUACAUUACGCUAUGUUUUAUGCAAUAGAACAGUAAAGAGGUUUUCUAUAGGUGAAUUUUUACCUAUGUCAUUCGCGCGUUUGUCAAAUUGACUGAUGUGUAUGUGUACAUAGAGUGAGGUUAAUUUUGGGUUUAUUAUUGUUGAAUAGAUAAGUUUAUUUUGGCAGAGAAGAGAAAACGAGGAUAAACCUUUCUUGCAGAAGAAAAAGACAAGCUAGUGAAAUUGCUGACGUCUCAUAGAGACACAAUAUUAAACAAAAAACGGAUGGGACCACGAACGAAGCCAAAAACAAAGCUUGGAUCCAGUCACAAAUACAUAGUUUUAAUGCGACAGGAACCCUUUACAGUUUCAGGUGGUGCGAGAAAUUGGAAAGACGUGUAAAAACAUGCUGCGCCCAGUCCACCUCAAAUUGAAUUGGUGCAGGAGGAUGAUGAUAAUGUUUGGUACAUCAUAUGAGGACUAAUAUUAAAAUAUUUGUUUACUAUCUUUGUUUUAAUUUACAUAAUUUAUUAUGUUCAAUGUUAGCCUACUUCUUACCUCCAGAGGGUAUCCCCUAUCACCUAGGAGAUAGGCUGCUCCAUAUUCACCAUUUUCGAGUCAUUGGUAUCUACUGCAGUUUUGGUAUUUAAGGCCUAUUCAAACCUGAGCGAUAUUCGCUGCCGCUGUGGGUAGAGGUAGAUACCGCGCCGGUUUCGCUCAGGUAUUUAGUAUCAAGUAUAGUUACCGGCACGGAUAUUGAGCUCUCGGCGGAAGAGUGGGGAUCGCUUUGCGCACUGUACACAAGGCAAUAAACCAAUAAAUGGCUUCUGCGCAGGUGAAGGUCAGGGCUCAAUAUCCGUGCCGAUAACUAUACCGCGGCUAGAGCGACCUGAGCGAUAUCCACUGCCGCUGUGGGUAGAAGUACAUACCGCGCGGCAGCAGCGGCAUGCAUCCCGAACAUCAACAGUAAUAAACGCAUACCCACUGGGUUUUCUCUGUCGCAGGUGGUAGCGAAUACCGCUUAGGUCUGAACAGUCAUAUUACCGCAUACCCACAGGGUUUUCUCUGCCGUAGACGGUAGCGAAUACCGCUUAGGUCUGAAUAGGCCUAUAGUUGUCCCGGCCACCGCGAAACUACAUCAGUGAUUACCAGAUUUCCAUCUGUUAUGGUCUGUAUAUUUAUGGACAUGCAGGACUUCCUAUUUUUUAAUAAUUCAGCGACAUCACGACCUAGCAAGUGCAUUCAUAGCAAGUGAUAACCUAUAAUCUUAUAAAAAAGUCAUGAUCAUCGUACUUUUUUCUCAGACAUCUGCUCUUUCACGUAAGAUAGGUACGUGGUCUUCUAAUGAUUAUUAUUUUACAUAUCCACAACCUCCACAGCUUCUAAACUUUCUAAAAGUUUAAGUUUCAUUUUUUUUUUUGCUUUUUAAACAUGGUAUUUUUGGUGUUACAUAACAUAUAAAGGUACAUUUCACUAUCCAUCGCCAGAAACGGUUCAAAAUAUGUUUGUAUUCUGUAAUGAUAAUGAUAGGAGUUGUUUAAGCAGGCAUCAAUCGGGCUCCCAAGUUUAAGUGAAAUUUUUAGGUUAAAAUUGACACCUAGGCUUUGGUGAAAAUGAAAUUCUUAUUAAGUGUUCCGUAAAUGCUCCCUAAAUUUAGGUAUUCGUUGGUGAAAACGGGCAUUAGUAAAU
rnacentral:lncRNA from 1 species